UGAUAUGAAAGUAGAAAAUAAAUUCUUAGCCUGUUCCAUCAAUGAUAUAAUAGUUACAUUUUGAUUCAUUAAUGAUGAUCUGGUUUGUUGCCCAAGCUGGCCUUGAACUUCUAAGCUCAAGAGAACCUCCUGUCUCAGCCUCCUGAGUAAUAUGAUAACAUGAUCUGUUUUACAUGAAGUACUUAUGGAUUUAAACUAUUGCUGGGACCCAGCAACAGGAUAUUGGUAUAGUAAAGAAAUGGAAAAAAAUCUGAGCUGCAAUAUAAAAUGUCAAAUUUAGCCAGUAUGCCAGUACCAAUAGGAGAUUGUUUUAAGUUUUCAAGACAUUUGAUAAUCAUUACAUUAGCCAGAAAAAUAGCGCUUUGUUUAUAAGCAUGGGUUAUUUUAGAUAUUUUAGAUAUUAAAUCAGUGAGAUUUGUCAUUUAUCAAAUUUGUUCCUCUUUUACAAGCAAAAUAUCAAUCAGAUUAGAAAAUGGCCCUUCCAUCUGUUAGAAAAUUAUAAUACACUGAUUUUGUUAGAAUAAGAUACAUUAGUACCAUCUGUUGGAAAAUUAUCACUAUAAUUAUAUAAAUCAUCUGAAAUAAUUAAGAUAUCUGUAUUAGUCAUCUAUUGUUCCUUAACUACCUGACAACUUAGCAAACUUAAACAACAAUAUGAUUAGCACCUUACACAGAUUCUCGGGAUCAGCAGUUGGAAGUCUCUUAGAGGGCAAGGGAUUGUAGCCAAGAUGUCAGCCUAGGCUCCAGUUAUCUGAAGGCUUGACUGGGGCUGGAGAAUCUGCUUCCAGCACAGCUCCUUCACAUGGCUGUUGGCAGGAGGCUUCAGUACCUCACCCAAUGGGCCUCUACUUAGGUCAGCUUAAGUGUCCUAACAUUGUGGCAUCAUGCUGAAAAGCAAGCAGAAUAUUCCUACAGUGCUUUCCUAUUAUUUUAUUUAACAUGUAAAUAAUUAAUUUAGAGAUGAAAAUCUAGAGGCUUGAAUUAUAAAAUAAAGUCUUCAUAACAGGUCAUAUCAUACUGUUUAGAAAAGGGUGGCUUAGUCCAAACCAAAAUACUUAGAAAACCUAGGAAGUUAGGUCCCAGACUUAGAAUGUGGCUAGUGAAGUGAUAAGAAACAUGCCUUGAUCCAUAUGAGCUAGACCAUGGGCACAAAUCCAGAAUUUUAUUUAGUUUUAUGAAGUUAUAGUGGCCUAGGUCAGGAUUAAAAUAAAACAAAAUAAAUAAAACAAGUUGUCUUCCUAUUCCCCUUGAACUGAAAGCAGAGUUAGGGAAAACAUGAAAACUCAUAGAAAUUUAAGAUUUAGUUGCAAUUGUAUCUUUGAGUGUAUUUUUUAUUUACAGUUUUCACUCUUCUAAUAAAAAUUGUCUGUAAUGUGAAAUUAAACCCUAUUAAUUCA
rnacentral:lncRNA from 1 species